CAUACCACCCUGAACGCGCCCGAUCUCGUCUGAUCUCGGAAGCUAAGCAGGGUCGGGCCUGGUUAGUACUUGGAUGGGAGACCUGAAAAAUCAUUCAAAAAUUAUU
rnacentral:rRNA from 1 species